rnacentral:rRNA from 1 species
CCUACGGGGGGCAGCAGUGAGGAAUAUUGGUCAAUGGGCGCGAGCCUGAACCAGCCAAGUCGCGUGAGGGAGGACGGCCCUACGGGUUGUAAACCUCUUUUGCCGGGGAGCAACGAGCGCCACGUGUCGCGUCACUGAGAGUACCCGGAGAAAAAGCAUGGGAUAACUCCGUGCCAGCAGCCGCGGUAAUCCGGAGGAUGCGAGCGUUAUCCGGAUUUAGUGGGUUUAAAGGGAGCGUAGGUGGAUUGUUACGUCAGUUGUGAAAGUUGGCGGCUCAACCGUAAAAUGGCAGUUGAAACUGGCAGUCUGGAGUGCAGUAGAGGUGGGCGGAAUUCGUGGUGUAGCGGUGAAAUGCUUAGAUAUCACGAAGAACUCCGAUUGCGAAGGCAGUUCACCGGACUGCAACUGACACUGAGGCUCGAAAGUGUGGGUAUCAAACAGGAUUAGAUACCCGAGUAGUC